GACCACCACAUCCAGGUCCUAGGGCCACUGCAUCUGGCUCUCAUUGUCCAGCAGCCUGAUAUUUUUUUGCCCCAUUGAAGGCAGCAUUAAUUCCUUCCUUUGCUCCUGCAUAAGGAAAAAUUUCCCCUCUGCCCAGAGAUUUCCCCAGAGCCCUUCCACAGAUGGCAAUUUCAGAUCAGUUUUAGCUUUUGGUGAGAGCUGUGGUGUCACCAUGCUGCUGACAUGAGAGAGGACGGGAGAGGGUGGGGCCGUGCACGCACCCAGGAGCCCUAACCUUCCCCCCACCCCUGGCUUCCCACAGUGCGGCGAUCUGGAAGGAACCUGGAGUUUGGAGUCAGGUAACUGACUUUGAGAGUUGGCUCCUCCAGCUGUGUGACCUUGGGUCACAAAAACGGCCAAGGAGGUGGUCCUGAAGUUCUGACAGUUUCCUCAGUGGGAGAUGGGCACUCUGGGCGAUCACAACAGACAGCACGGAGAACCCUGGGGGCCUGUGUGAAUGACGGGGUCUGCGCAGAGAGAGCAGGGUGCCACGAGGGUGCGAAUAAGAGAGAGAGACGGAUCUAAUAGUGAUGCUCUGCUGCCCAUUUGACACACGAUCCUGGAGAACCUACUGAACGCCGGGCACCCAGGAGCCCCACCCAGAAGGCCGGCCUUAUGAUUGAUGACAUUUGCCAAAAUAAAAAGUAAAGGAAAGAAGAAGAGAGAGAGAAGAAAGAAAGAAAGAUCAACGCAUGUCAUGCUUCCCAUACUACUUUCUGAUUACAAGCUGACUGCCCACCUUCCUGCUGGUAAAGGCGGCUCUGAUCCUGGCCACGUUGUUCUGGCUUACUUGGUGAUCGUUUUGCCCUUUGCAAAUUAAGAAUGUGGCAUUCAAGUUUGGAUGAGCACUGCCCCAAGUGUGGUAUGGGGAUCAGAGCCUACGUGUGAACUGUUUGUUACCAGAAUACAAGGUGAUCGAGGGUAAAUAAUUUAGAAACUUCUGUAGCCAAUGACUUUGCCCUACCGUCCAAGCUCAUGGUCAGUGGAUGGGUCUCGUGAACAGGGCUUGAGGGUAGUCAGAUUCGAGUGGUGAAUGUCAUGUGGUGUGAACUGGGGCUUGAUCACACACAGUAGGACCAAACAUCAGACCAUGAUGGAGUGGAUUUUUUUUUCAAGUGGUAUCUCACAACAUAUGGCUUGAAUCCUUGGGACUUUCGACGGCGUCAGCCAGUCCUUUAGAAUCUAGUCGUGGAGAGCCCUAACAAGAAAUUUCUAGACCUGCAAGAAUAAGACCCCCUGCAAGGACCCUGGUUUGAAUUGCGGAUCUCCCUACGGGGGCCUGCCUGGUCCACCUGCCCAGCCUCCCUGCCGUACCCUCACCCAUCCUCACCCAGUUUGUCGAAAAGCAACAGAUGCAAAGAGCCUGCAAGGGCAGGACAGUUUCACGGGCUAAGCCAGAUCCCCGCUCUCCCUUUUCUCAAAUUAAAAUGGAGAUGUGCUUCAGCUGCCUCUCCCACAUCCCUCUUCCUGGGAGGACCUGGAGGGGUCCUCAGGAGGGGGACAGAGGGGCACUCAGGAGCCCCACACAAGCUGUCGAGGCUGUUCUGGAAGUGGGUAAUCUCUGAAAGGGUGAUUUAGAGCUCAGCGUGGCAGGGCUGGAGGCAGCGAGGUAGCUGUUCCCCACGGCGCUCAUUAAGUUUCCAUAGAUUGCAUUUCCUGCCUCCCCCCGCUAGCCCUCCAAAGAGCCUGUUACUAAUUCAUAAAAACACUGCGAGCGUGAUCGAGUCCGCUGAUUACUGGAGCAGGCAGACACAAGAGACGGUAAAAUGUUCCGUGUCUCUCUAGCAGGCUCUCAGGGGCUCAGGAGGAAGAAAAAAUUAAAAAAGAGAAAAACAACAUGAAGAAAGGAAUAUGAAAAAAAAAAAAAAAACUGUGUUGUGAAAUAUUAAUCAGAGCUGUUUGCCCCCGGGGGCCAAAAAUAUGAGGCAGCAUAAUCAAUGUAGCAAGAGCUGCCCAGCAACAUGUCUUUGAGAAGCUGAUUAUUGCGGGUAAACACAGCUAAAUAUUCUGAAUCUUUGGACUGUGCCUCUGGUGUCGCUUGAGAAUCCGAUUCCCUUAUCAUCCUUCUGCAGGUGUGGCCCCGGGGAGGAGCGUGGGAGGUGUUGGCGGGACAUGGCUUCCUGGGCAGGGAGUCACUUGGGCCCCAGUAGGAGCUGCUUCUGUUCCUUUCCAA